GGGGAACAUGCUGUUUCACGUGUGAGAAGCGCUACCUUUCUCUAAGGAGAUCUCCUGAACUGUGUUAAAAAAAUAGGUUAAGCCAUCCCCUGCUUGGAUGCUCCAUGAAACUUGGUCAUUGCUUAAUGGCAACUGCUUCUAAUGCUGUGUGUCAGCGUGGCACUGCAAUGCAGCUUCUCUCUGCCCAGUGUGUGGCUGCUCGGGUGUGAGGCUUUGCUUGCUGAGGCUUUGCUGCAGGCUGUUCUCCCCAAAACCUGCACUGUCAAUGAGUUGUGCUGGUAAACAGCACAGGGAGAGAUCGUUCAGGUUGUUCUCAUCCUCCAGCCCUGAAACCAGCUGGCAGGGAUGUCAAACAUGACUUGCCCCUGCAGACAAAGUCAUGCUCAACAUCUCUGUAAUUAAUCUGGAUCCCGGAGGUCGCGGUUCGAACACAGCCAAAUUGUCCUGGGGAAGCAACACCCUCUGGAUCUGGUGUUUCUCACAGGUACUGCAUGGGACUGGGAAGCAGCUGAGCACCGACUCAGUGCUGGGGCUCCUGGUGAUGCUCGCUGUGAGAUGGUGGCAGCACAGCUGUGAUCUCACAUGGGGAUCUGCCUUCAUACUGCCCACCUCCCCGUACAGCUCAGUCUUAGGAAGGCAAAAUGGAGUAAAAACUCAUCUGUUGGUCGGAAAAGGCUCUGCACAGUGGUUUACUCUGGUGGGACAUGGACGUGGGAUGGCAACCUCAGAGAUGGAAAGGAGAGAUUAUUUUCCUUUCCUAUUUAUAAGUCCACAAAGACUUAUAAAGAAAAAUCCUGCCUUCCUGUAUAGGACAAAGCCUUCUGAAAUAACCUGCCAGAAAUUUCCAGCAAUGCUCAGGCUUUCUGAGCCCUGUUCUGGAAGGACGAUGGUGCUGCCAGCCUUUGUGUGGGCUCAGGGGUCCCAAGUUCCAGCUCCUCGACUUGAUGUGGGACUGAUGAAUUGCUCACCCUGCCUUCAGAAACCAUCCAUGUGGGGCAGACCUGCAUGUCCUGAGGUCCUGCAGUUCCCCAUGACAGCUCUUGUUUUCAUAUCGACCAAACAAUGCAGCCAGGACCGUGAGUGUCCUGUCCUGUUUUCCCCACUGGCUCUGCCCCAUAGGUGAGCUGUGGGAGAGGAGAGGACCAGCAGCCCAGUGCCGAGGUCGGGAUGUGCAACAAGCCAAGCAGCUCUUGUUUUGCAGCUCUGUACGCGGCAGCGUGGCUAAAUGUGGAGGCAGGUUUGAAGGCACGCUCAUUUAACUCCCCAGCCAACGUCUGAUUCCAGGCAUGCCUCUUUCACAGAGUUUAGUUGCACAUUUGCAGAGCAACAGUUCUGCAAGUGGAACUCUGCAGGCAGCCUGGUGGGGCCAAUGCUGACUGCUGCUGUUGGGUGCUCAUGAGUGAGAGAACAGGAGAUGGAGUCAGGGAACGUCUGAGACCAAUAUUGGGAUGAAGUAGGAGGAGAGGGAGGUUUUAAAGUCUUGGUCAAGCUGUUUCCUGUGCUGGUUUUGGAUUUCUCUUGUAGCUUGGCUGUGUCCUGUUGCAAGGAAUACAGCUCCCAUUGACUCCAGCAGGACCAGAGCUGGACCAGAGGGGCCUUUGGUGCAAGAGAGGCUGCAAGAAAGGAUUCGGCUUUAUCUGUCGGUGAGCCUGUUCAUUCUCUCACCUGUUGAUGGGUCAAAUUUUGAAGCUGUGACUCAGUCUGAACUUUCAGUGGCUUUUGCACCUGGUGAUUUAAAUAUCUGUCUGCACGGGAGGUGAACGCCAAGCGGCAUCCCUAGCUGCAGCUCCGUACCAGGUUACCUUCCCCUUUCCCCCCUCCAGCUGUUUACUAUUUCCCUCCCACCUCCACCCUGACUCAGAAGAAUGGGACACGAAUCCUCCCACCUCACCCACUCCAGUACAAUGCUUGGCAGCUGCUGGGGAAAAAGAGUUUGGGUGAAGCUGCCAGGCUUUGCCCAGGAGCCAUGGGGGAGAGCACGAGAGCUGUUCCACCAACGCAGCUGCCGGCAGCAGGAGCCUCCGGCACGAGGGAGCAGACGAGCCAGCUGCUGGGGGUGCUGAUAACAUCUGGACCCACCCGACGAGAGCGCAUCUCCCCGUGCUGUUCUUGAAGAAGUGGGAGCUCUGUGGAGCAGUGAUGAUGAAUGCUGUUCUGCUGGGAUCUGUCCUCUUCACUUCCUCAAACACAAGCAAAUAAGAAGUGAUUGUAAUGCUAGCUGCUGUCUCCAGAUCAAAAGCGCUAAAGCAACACUUUGAGAACUGAGAAGGGCACGGUCUGAGCCUCCCCUCAACCCCACACCUCCCAACGCUGCCGUAAAAUCUGUGCUGAAAAAGGACCAGCAAAUACCAGCCUCCUCCUCCUCCUCCUCGUCCCAUCGCUCCCUCUUUGGGCACAGCGAUUCCGGCUCCGUCCCCUCACCUGAGGGCUGUGCUGAGCGUCCCCACCUGCAGUGGCUGCUCGUCCCAUCCCGGUGCUGCCAUCCCAUCUCCUGCAGGACAGACCCUGUGCCAAGCGUAGGGCGCAGCAUCUGUCCUCAUCCAGGAGCACUGUGGAGCCGUGGCUACGGAGCCGUGCCUUUCGGUCACCAGCUGGUGCCUUUGUGUUGCCCAUACGUGUUCAGUGAUGCAGGAGGAGAUCUUUGGGAUGCUGUGGGGUUGGUCUGAUGUCGGGCAUGAGCCUCGCUGGGUUCCUCCCUCGUUAUCCAUCUCUUUAAGCAUCUGAGACCCUCAGUGCCUCAGUUUCCCCACACGUGUCUGUAACAGUGGGCACAGCUCCCUGAGCCACCCAUAGGCUCUGUGCUCCAGUCCCCAUCUCACAGGACACAGUGCUGGGCCACGAUGCCAAUCUCUGCAGUCCCAACCUCCACACACCCAGAAGGCAUUGAGGAGCACUGCGGCAUCCCCCACCUGUGUGCCUUGUCCCAGCUUGGGGUCAGUGCCAGUGGGUGCUCUGAGCCCACCCUGAGCCCCAUCCCUGUGCUGGUGGGGCAUUUCCACGUCCUUCUGGUGAACCAGCUCAUGACUCCCAUGGUUAAUGUUUGCCUUAACCCCUCUUUCCACACAUUGAUUUGUAUUUGCAUCAUGCCCUGGCCACGGUGCUCAGGAACGCAGGGUGCUUGCAGGGCUCCCCCCACGAGCAGCAGUGUCCCCCAGCCAUGGCUAAGGUCAUUCUUCAUGGGUUUCCCAGCAGCACUGGGGCCUCCAUCCUUUCUCUCCCAUUUAAUCCCAUGAAUUAAACACCGCCUUCACCGCGGAGCGCCGAGCGGUGCCGGCGUAAUGUCCAAGUUUUACGACUUGCCUUGAAGGCACCUAUCGAUUGGGGUCCUCUCUGGAUGAUGGAGCUUUUAGUGCAUCCUGGGCUGUCCGAGCAGGGCUGGAUCCUCAGCCCACGGGGCUCAGCCGCGCCGUGCCGUCACGUCCCCGUGCCCCAUCUCCAUGGGUCCCAUGGGGAGGCGGCAGGCGGGGCCCUCAGUGCCCACACGGCGCCUUUAAGAAGCCCACAACCAGCUCCAGGAACACGAGCUCAAGGUCACAGUGGGAAACCUGCGGACUUGGCAGCGAGGAGAGGAGAGGAGAGCGGGCGGAGGGGAGGAGGAGGGAGGAGGGAAGCAGCUGGGGAUAAAACCCAAAUUCUGGCGGGGAAGAGGGGACGGAGGGGAGCGGGGAGGUGAGGUGCAGGGGGGUCCCACCCAGGGGUGCCUAACUGUGGCACCUUGAGGCCCUGUGCCGCAUCCCCCGGCGCGGCACCCGGACGCCCUCUGGGAGGUUUGGGGUUACCGAAGGCACCGGGAAUGAGGCGGCUGCUCCUGGUCUGGGUUUGGAGAUGCCCGUUUUUAAUUUUCAUCAGCAGAAUUAAUCUGCGGAGCUGCUCCCCCCCCCCCCCCCCCCCCCCCUCCUCCUCCCCUCCCCUUCCUUUCCUCACUGGUUUCGACGGAGAAUUUGAUCACUUCUCCCAGGAGCUCGGCACCAUUAACAUUCACUCCUGGCGCGCACGAGCCGCGCUGCAUCGCCAAGCGCAUCGCCAGCUGUGGGCUGUGGGCUGUGGGCACCUCGACCCCCAUCAGCAGCCCCAGCCCUUGGCCUGGCACCAUCCUCACCCCCACCGAGCCGGGGAGGGGCUGCUUUAUUUCUGUGUCCGCUCCCCCGUAGAAAAAUGAAGGGCACAGCAUAGGAUCAGUGGGUGCUGCCCUUCUCCUGCUUCCAGCCAGCCUUGGGCUCGGAUCUGGAGGUGUCCGGAGGGUCGUGGCCUCAGGGUUUGCUCUGCAGCUGCUGGGACACCUGGGGCUGUCCAAUAUGAUGGAAACCAGAAAGCACUCCGGGGGUAGGAUCCAAAUCUUGCACCAUUUCACAUUUUAAGGGAUGCCAAGUGGUCACCCUGGGCUGCCCCAGAGUUGCAUAAAGUUGUGGACUUUUUUUUUCUUUAAUAAAGGUUAAUAAAGAAUUAACUCCUUAUUGCUGUUAUUAUUACUCCAUCACUGUCACUAUCACUAUUACCAUUACCAUUGCUAUUACUAUUGCCAUUGCUGCUAUUGCUGUUGUUGCUGCUAUUGCUAUAACUAUUGCUAUUUCUAUUGCUACUAUUCCCAUUUCCAUUUCUAUUCCCAUUCCUGUUCUCAUUCCUCUUCCUCUUCCCAUUCCUAUUCCUAUUCCCAUUCCCAUUCUCAUUCCUGUUCCCAUCCGUAUUCCCAUUCCCAUUCCUAUUCCAAUUCCAAUUCCUAUUCCAAACCGCUGCCCCUUGCAUGACAUACAGUUUCCCUGACACCAGCACAGUCCCAGCUGGGACGAUGCCCUCUGGCCCCGAGGUGCCCCCUGUGCUGCAGCAGCAGCAGGAGCUCCAUCAUCCCCUCCACCAGUGUGAGGCUGCAUCCUCCCCAUGUACAAAUGAAGCCCAUUUUUCUCCUUUCUGGCUGUGGCCCCACGCACUGAGCCCAGCCAUGCUGCUCCUCGAGGGCACGGAGCCAUUCACCGAAGCGAGAAGCCGAACGCUUUCUUUUUAGCCUCGCUUUAACAAGUAUUAAUUAACAAGAGAGUAAACACUAAUCCCAAAAUGACACAAACUGUGUCGCUUGAAACGAAUGUUUGGGAGCUGUCUGUGCUGGGAUUUACAGCUGCAUGGGUUAAUGGGUGCUAAAUCAUUGCUCAGGCUGCAAGGAGAAGCCGAGCUGGAGAGGGGCUGGGUGUGCUGCUCAGCCUGGCAUCGGCUGCACGGGGUGCUGGGGCUGUGCUGGGCUGUGCCAUGCCAUGACCUCCUCUGGUAGGAGGUGUGGAUCCGCUCAAUGCUUGGAGCAAUGGUGCCCCCACCCAGCAAUGGCUUUAACCAUAGAGCGCUGCAAGAGCGACCAGAGAGUCACCCUUGCCUACAGCCAACCUCCAACCCUUGUGGGCUCAGGGGAGGCUGGGGGCUGAAGGCAGGGACUCAGCGUCUUGAGAGGGGCCCGGAGAGGCAGGCACUCAGCACAGAUCCAGGCCGGGUUUUCUUCCUUCUUCCUCCUCUAUCGUGCAGACUGGGGAGCUGCUGCCUGUGCACAUGCUGCUCCAGUCAGUCCUGCUCCAGGCUGAGCUGCACAGCCAGCGUGAGCCGGCGCUGGGAACUGGGAAACAGCUUCAUGUGCACACUGCAUCCUCCCUGUGCACACACUGCAUCCUCUCACUGCACACUGCAUCCUCCCUGUGCACACACUGCAUCCUCUCACUGCGCACUGCAUCCUCCCUGUGCACACAUUGCAUCCUCCCCAACAUGCUCACUGCACAUUGACUGGGGCAGGACCACAACAACGCAUGGUCCUCCAUUCCCCCCAUGCCGGGAGGGCUCCCCUUCAUCCCAUGUGCUCAGCCCCAUUUCAGGAGGGCUGGGGAGGGCUGUGGGGGCUGCAGGGCUGGAAGCCCC
ensembl:lncRNA